rnacentral:lncRNA from 1 species
UCUUCCUUCGGGCAUACCAUCCCUUUACCGAAUCUGCACAUCUCAUCAUAUACAAUAGGCAGAUAAACUUUCACAUAAAAGUGAGCUCAUGUGACAUAAAUAUAUCGUAUGAUUUCACAUCACCUCUCACACUGAUCCGAUGUCACAUAAUCACAGGAAUAGUCUCAUAGAUUGCUUUCGUAUGCAUCACAUAACUACCUUAUGAUUUAGUGCAAAUCAAGCUCACAUAUAAACUUGAAGUACAUACCUGUUUAACCUUUCGCAU